GACGAACGCUGGCGGCGUGCCUAAUACAUGCAAGUAGAACGCUGAAGAGAGGAGCUUCCUCUUCUUGGAUGAGUUGCGAACGGGUGAGUAACGCGUAGGUAACCUGCCUUGUAGCGGGGGAUAACUAUUGGAAACGAUAGCUAAUACCGCAUAACAAUGGAUGACACAUGUCAUUUAUUUGAAAGGGGCAAUUGCUCCACUACAAGAUGGACCUGCGUUGUAUUAGCUAGUAGGUGAGGUAAUGGCUCACCUAGGCGACGAUACAUAGCCGACCUGAGAGGGUGAUCGGCCACACUGGGACUGAGACACGGCCCAGACUCCUACGGGAGGCAGCAGUAGGGAAUCUUCGGCAAUGGGGGCAACCCUGACCGAGCAACGCCGCGUGAGGGAAGAAGGUUUUCGGAUCGUAAAGCUCUGUUGUAAGUCAAGAACGGGUGUGAGAGUGGAAAGUUCACACUGUGACGGUAGCUGACCAGAAAGGGACGGCUAACUACGUG
rnacentral:rRNA from 1 species